UCCCUCGUGGCUCAGCUGGUAAAGAAUCUGCCUGCAAUGCAGGAGACCUGGGUUCGAUCCCUGGCUUGGGAA
rnacentral:tRNA from 1 species